AGAUGAGAAUGUGCCUUCGGGAACCGUGAGACAGGUGCUGCAUGGCUGUCGUCAGCUCGUGUUGUGAAAUGUUGGGUUAAGUCCCGCAACGAGCGCAACCCUUAUCCUUUGUUGCCAGCGGUCCGGCCGGGAACUCAAAGGAGACUGCCAGUGAUAAACUGGAGGAAGGUGGGGAUGACGUCAAGUCAUCAUGGCCCUUACGACCAGGGCUACACACGUGCUACAAUGGCGCAUACAAAGAGAAGCGACCUCGCGAGAGCAAGCGGACCUCAUAAAGUGCGUCGUAGUCCGGAUUGGAGUCUGCAACUCGACUCCAUGAAGUCGGAAUCGCUAGUAAUCGUGGAUCAGAAUGCCACGGUGAAUACGUUCCCGGGCCUUGUACACACCGCCCGUCACACCAUGGGAGUGGGUUGCAAAAGAAGUAGGUAGCUUAACCUUCGGGAGGGCGCUUACCACUUUGUGAUUCAUGACUGGGGUGAAGUCGUAACAAGGUAACCGUAGGGGAACCUGCGGUUGGAUCACCUCCUUACCUUAAAGAAGC
rnacentral:rRNA from 1 species